rnacentral:rRNA from 1 species
CACAAGCGGUGGAGCAUGUGGUUAAUUCGACGCAACGCGAAGAACCUUACCAGGGCUUGACAUCCUCUGACCGCAUAUGAAAGUAUGUUUCUGGCUUCGGUCAGACAGAGAGACGGGUGGUGCAUGGUUGUCGUCAGCUCGUGUCGUGAGAUGUUGGGUUAAGUCCCGCAACGAGCGCAACCCCUACGUUUAGUUGCUAACGUGUAACGAUGAGCACUCUAGGCGGACUGCCGUUGACAAAACGGAGGAAGGUGGGGAUGACGUCAAAUCAUCAUGCCCCUUAUGUUCUGGGCUACACACGUGCUACAAUGGCCGGUACAAAGGGACGCAAAGCCGCGAGGUGGAGCAAAUCCGAUAAAAGCCGGUCUCAGUUCGGAUUAGAGUCUGCAACUCGACUCUAUGAAGUUGGAAUCGCUAGUAAUCGCGGAUCAGCACGCCGCGGUGAAUACGUUCCCGGGCCUU